UUCUGGAGAAGUUAAUGGAGCAGUUGGCAGUGACAGGUAUAAUGUGAAAGAUGACGGACCUUCGAGAAUAAAAGUAUAACGUUCAUCAUUUACAGGUGAUCUUGUAUCUUCAACUUUCACAAGUGCAGCAAGCAGCUGCCUGCACAAAAAUAUUCUUCCAGGUUCAAAAGAGUCGGUCUUUAACAGCAAAUAUUGGAGCAGUAUACAGGAGAGUGGGUUCCCCGCAAAUUCCUAUUACUAUUGCUUUUUGAGGAACUUCAGGAAAAGAGCACUUGAAAAUGCAUAUGUUGAUAGCGCAAAGCCUCCAACCGUUGAAGAUUUUGACUUCCAUAUUGAUGAAAUUGUGGAUGCAAGUGCAAUGUUAUGCAAUAGAGAUGGCGUACUUGGAUAUGUUUCAGUAGGUUAGGUAGCCAAAAAUUUGUGUAAA